UUUAUUAUGUUUGAGGUGAUUUGUACUUAUGGUGAAUCUUUAUAAUAGAUCUGAUAACGUCGUAGUCGUAAUGGUUCGACCUCCCCUGAUGAUUCGACCUCUCCAGCCUCGUACGUAACUUCUGCCCGUGAAGUGAAAAAUCGGACCUCCUCACAACCCCUCCGCGCACGAUAGAAAAAAAAAAAGAAAAAAAAACAACCCAGACGUACGCACGUACCAACUCCCACCCCCUUCCACCAGACCCCUCGCUAUCGAUCCCGUGUCUUGCAGAGAGGAAUCGCCGCCGCCGGCCUCCUCCUAGAUUGGAGCGGUGAAUCCGCAUCUCAUCUCUUCAUCACCGAGUCCAUGAGGUGCUCGAUGUGGCAGGGACGACGAACACGAGCGCCGCAUCAAUAGCAGCGAUGAACGAUGGCCCAGGUAAUGCCAUCUCCUUACCCUUGCUCCACCACAUCUUCUCACGCCAACCAGUGGAUAUGCAACUGCGGCCCAGACUUGGUGGCCGAGCAGCAGCGACCUCGACGCGGCACAUGCGUGGUAGCUGAUGCACAGCACAGCGACCGCGACCAGGACGCGGUGGCGGGAGAAUGGCGACGGCUGCCAAGACCUGGCGUGACGGCGAUGAAGAUAUCGACUCUGACGACUCGCCUCCGUUCAACAGUGCCCUGCUUUUCCGCAUCGCCUCCGUCAAGCAUCACCUUCUUUUCCGCGCGCACAUCACCUCGGUCACUGGUAAACCGCUGUAUCUCUGUACUCUGCUGGCGAUCUGGAUUUAGGAGCUCUGGGAUUCGGAGAAUGCACAGGCUGGAGUUUGGGAAUAGCUCGGGCUUCCUGCAGAAGACGAUAGGUCUUGUUUGGUUUUUUUUUAGAAGAAUGAAUCUGAUUUGGAUGAGACUAAUCAGUACGUCAUGUGGGCCUCCAAGCGAAAUUUGUGGUGGGAACUUUCCUUCCAUUCAUCUUCUAAUCGGAUUUUGAUAUUUGUGCCAUUGAUUUGAGUGCUGAUGAAGAGCUUUCUAUGGACGAAGAGUCAACAAUGCAUUGGCAUUUUCCAAGUCCAUUCCCUGCUUUUAACUAUUCAACUUUCUUCUCUUUUUUUUUGAAGAACUAACUUCUUUUCUUUGUGAAAAAACUAUUCAGGAAUCGGAAUCAUCGAAUUCAUGAACUGCUCAUCGAAUUCACCCCACCGAACUCAAUUCGUAGGCACUACCGAAUCGCAAAUCCCAAACCCGAAUCAGUGGACUGCGAAUCCGGUAACUAUGGCAGGGAUUGACAAGUGGCAACAGACGUCUGGUGGCGUAAAGGACGACGGGUGGUGGUAGGGCUAUGGGAGGAGCAGGUAGAUGAAGGAGGUUGCCUGUGGAAAUCUGGCAUGUGGCGGCAUAAAGGCAUAAAGGACGACGGGUGGCGGUAGUGCUAUGGGAGGAGCAGGUAGGGCUAUGGCGGUAUAAAGGUUGUGUAGAAAUCACUCAAGUCUGCUUUUUAUUGUGGAAGCUCGUUGUAUGUGUAAAAUUACUUAUACUGUUGGUCCCGGCGCACGGAGCCUACAAGACGCCGAAUGUUCCUGCUGCUGCUUACCAAGCAGGAAAAUACCAGAAAUAAGUUCAACUUGGGGAAGAACAUGAAGAUGAUGAACUCGCUCGGCGGCUUGUACCGUGUUUUGUGCUGGAGGAACAUAAAAAUCUCCGUUUCCUUGUUACUUUAUUCUGAUGGUUUAUUUGCCAUAUGUUAGAUUGGCGAGAGGUGGGGUACCAGAAAGAGGCGACGUUAAAAUCGGUGCCAGUGACGACGACAGUGGACACGAUGAGCUUGGCGACAGCGGCUGCCGCAACAUUGUUGUGCUUGGAGCCCAUGCUAUCCGAGCUGGACAAUGCCAAUAGCUCAGUCCUUUUGCGUGUUCAUUGACAAGUUGUCCGUACAGUACCUUGGCGUCAACAACCACGGCCAUGAUGACGGAGUCAUGCUGGCCGAUUGCCCUGCUUCCAUGCACCGAGCAGUUUACUGGUUUGAGAUGACCAUGAGGACUGAUGGGCUCAAGGGGUUGAAUCGAGUUCACCACAUGUGGUGGCAACCUGGGUGAGCUACCUUUUGUUGGUCCUUUCUGCUAUUUGGUAUCUCUAGCCUGGUUUUAGUGCUCUGACAGCAAUUAGCAAUGCUAAACUUGAGACCAAAAGGAGUUGUAAGAAGAAAGGAGUUGUAAGAAGUGUUCCUUAGAAAUUGUACACUAAACUGCUUGCACAUUUUCAUGCAUGUUGGCACUCAUCUUGGAGCACAAUUAAAUGGAAAUCAGUAGCAAAAAUACAAUCUGCAUAGUGGUAAUCUAAUCCUAGAAUUUGGCUUCAUUUAUAUAUUUCGAAGUGGUUGCAUGAUUUCAUAUUUUGCGUACUAUGUUCACACUGUAACUUCUAACCUGGGAUUUUAAGUGCGCGAACAUUUGAUAUGGGUUACAAUUGAAACUUACAUUCGUUCUACUGAAUAGAAGAAGUGGCUUCUGAUCGUACUAAAAUUUCUUAAGAGCUAUAGUAACUUUAUUCUGUAGCAAUCAGUUAAUUAAGAAGUGAUAUCUUCCCCUUGCUUUGAAGUGAAUGCAAAUUUCGGGGUAUACUCCUAUUCAUUGCAAGCAUCACUAAGCGCAACUUCUGGAACUUUAAUUUAAUCAAAAGAAUACUGAAAAAUACUAUUUGCAUUAAUUUUCUACUCCCUUUGGUACACCAUGUCAUAUAAAUGUGAUGCAAAUUGUUGUAGGUUCAGUUUUACAUUCUCCUCCUUCCCAGAUCACAAGUGUCUAUUUCAAUAUAUUCCCUUUUUUCUAUUUUACAAAAUACACUUUCCACCAUGGAAGUGACAUGUGUUAUUCCUGAGAACUGGUUUAGUUUGAGUUGAUACCAUUUAUUUUUUUCUUUCCCAUUAUUUUUAACAACAUCUCCUUGAUUCAUAGGUCGUACUUUCUGCUAGACUGUUUUAUUUUCUUCAUUGGAAGACUUAUGUAAUACUUGAUGUCUUUUUUGUAAUAGAAACUUCAUCUUUGCUUAUAGUUUUGUUGGUGUUGUUCUGCGCAUGAUUCCUUAAUUCGAAUAGACAGUUAAAAUUAUGAUACAAUAUCAUAUCAUUCUUUUGGGAAUAUCAAAAGAGUAACUUUAACUUCUGAGGACACGUGCAUUUUUGACUGCUCUUUGUAAACCAGAACAUAAGAAAACCAACAGCCAGUUAAAGAUUAGCCAGAUUAACGCAAGUGAUUUUUUGUCUUGUUUAGUGAUAUGCAUUUCAUCAACUAUUGUUUAUCGCCAUUGCCGGAUGUAGUGAUACUCCAAAUGGAAAUGAAGUGGUCAAAGUGGACAAUUCUCGCCAUAUGGCUUGAUUACCGUAAAAUUUACUACAAAUCUUGACCUCUGUUGUGUUGCAGUAAUUUCCUCAAGAUUAUCUUAUUAGCAUGCUAUCGUUUUUACAACCUGACAAAAAUAGGUGAAUUGUUGAACUUCAGACUGCAAUGGAGGUGCACUGGAUGAACCGGAGGUGAUCAUUUUGGCCUGUGCACGUAUGUUCUUCUGUUAGGUCUAAUGCGGUCUUCUUAAUAGAUCAAACAACCACAUAUAAUAUUUGAUAAAGCUUUCUUCUUAUAAACAUUUUAUAUGCAUAAUCGAAAUCCAACCCUUUGUUGUGGCACAAACACACUGACAUCCAAAGAAUGGAUUAAGUGCUAGGGAGAAGGGAGGGCCAAGAUGAGCUGUGUAGGUGUCCUUGGUGUAACUAGAGCAUUCUUUGACCUUGUUAGAGACUUAGUGAUAGAGCAAUAAAUUGUUUUGUUAGGAUAAUAAAUUGUGUGUUAGGUUAUUCUUUUAUAUGGGUGAUUUUAAUCCCAAGGUAGGAGUGUUUGUACAAGUGGAACUAUGAGCUCUCAUGC